AGAGUUGAUCAUGGCUCAGGAUGAACGCUAGCGACAGGCUUAACACAUGCAAGUCGAGGGCAGCAUAAAAGUAGCAAUACUUGGUGGCGACCGGCGCACGGGUGAGUAACGCGUAUGCAACCUACCUAUCAGAGGGGAAUAACCCGGCGAAAGUCGGACUAAUACCGCAUAAACAGGGGCACCGCAUGGUGAUAUUUGUUAAAGGAAUUCGCUGAUAGAUGGGCAUGCGUUCCAUUAGGUAGUUGGUGAGGUAACGGCUCACCAAGCCGACGAUGGAUAGGGAACUGAGAGGUUGGUCCCCCACACUGGUACUGAGACACGGACCAGACUCCUACGGGAGGCAGCAGUGAGGAAUAUUGGUCAAUGGGCGGGAGCCUGAACCAGCCAAGUCGCGUGAAGGAAGAAGGAUCUAUGGUUCGUAAACUUCUUUUGCAGGGGAAUAAAGUGCAGGACGUGUCCUGUUUUGUAUGUACCCUGAGAAUAAGGAUCGGCUAACUCCGUGCCAGCCGCCGC
rnacentral:rRNA from 1 species